GAUGAACGCUGGCGGCGUGCCUAAUACAUGCAAGUCGAGCGAACAGACGAGAGUGCUUGCACUCUCUGACGUUAGCGGCGGACGGGUGAGUAACACGUGGGUAACCUACCUAUAAGACUGGGAUAACUUCGGGAAACCGGAGCUAAUACCGGAUAAUAUUUAGCUUCGCAUGAAGCAAUAGUGAAAGACGGUUCUGCUGUCACUUAUAGAUGGUCCCGCGGUGUAUUAGCUAGUUGGUGAGGUAACGGCUCACCAAGGCAACGAUACAUAGCCGACCUGAGAGGGUGAUCGGCCACACUGGGACUGAGACACGGCCCAGACUCCUACGGGAGGCAGCAGUAGGGAAUCUUCCGCAAUGGACGAAAGUCUGACGGAGCAGUGCCGCGUGAGUGAAGAAGGUUUUCGGAUCGUAAAACUCUGUUGUAAGGGAAGAACAAGUACGUUAGUAACUGAACGUACCUUGACGGUACCUUACCAGAAAGCCACGGCUAACUACGUG
rnacentral:rRNA from 1 species